UACGGGGGGGGCAAGCGUUGUUCGGAAUUAUUGGGCGUAAAGGGCGCGUAGGCGGUGCGGCAAGUCUCCUGUGAAAUCUCCGGGCUCAACUCGGAGUCUGCAGGAGAAACUGCCGUGCUUGAGUGUGGGGAGAGGUGAGUGGAAUUCCCGGUGUAGCGGUGAAAUGCGUAGAUAUCAGGAAGAACACCCCGUGGCGAAGGCGCUCUCUGGAACGCAACUGACGCUGAGACGCGAAAAGCGUGGGGGAGCAAAACAGG
rnacentral:rRNA from 1 species